AUUUAAUUUAUGCUUAUUGGUUAAUUUGUAAUUCCUCGAUCCAGAUUAUAAUAAUUAGACCCGGGUUUGAAUCCUUUAACACGCUCUCGGGUGAAAUUAUUACGUUUCAUAAAUUUGUGUCGAAUGCAGAAGACGGGGUUUGACCACGGAUCGGGAGACAAGGGAGAACCGUAAAGUUACCGACACUGUCAGUCUCAGCUCCCAGAUUUCCAGACUGUUGAGAGGUGUUAGAGCUGAACCGACCUAAAACGAAGGAAACGACUGGAUAGCAAUGUGAAAUCGAAUAUGUUUGCGGAUGUUUUCCACAAGGAUGAAUUUUUGGAUACCUGCUGCAAACACCAAAGGGAAACUGAUCGGAGUUCUCCCUGUCAAACUGAACAUGCGACUCCGAAUUAGACAAAUUAUAACAUCCUGCUCUAAGGGCGCUCUGUACACAGAAUGGACGAAUUUACCAACAGUUUUCCAAAGCGCAUCUACAGCAACUCAUCUUAAGUAAAUAAAAAGUUCGUGAAAUUGAUUAAAGUCUGUUUGUAAAUGCAAAUUCCACAUGUAAUGCGUUGGUCUAAACAACGGGGCAGUUUAUCCUUAUUCCAUCAGUCGAUAAUUUAUCAACAUAGCAAUUACUUUAUGAAAAGGGGUUCGAAAUAUAAUUGCUUAAAGUGAUUGCCACAAUGAAACAGUUGUUCAAUUAGGGAGGAGUUCGUGGGUUAAUUUUGCAAAUAGACGCCAGAAUUCCGGCUUUAACCUCAUUAUUACCGAUUGAUCGAAUGAGUUUAUUGAAGGACUUCUCGCUGCCUGCUAGACAUUGCUGGGGACGAAGAUGAGCCCAGUCCAGAUCGCGGAGCCAGAACAGAAUUAAUUCAAACAGGGGUGGAAAACCCUGCUGUUGUAGAAGCGUUAAAUGACAUUGCAAUCGCAGACUAUUACAAGUGAAUGUUUGCAACUUCUGCUGAUUAUUUUAUUUUGGAUGAACUAGUCAAUUAAUUUAAGGUUUUAAUUGUUGGACAUAGUAUUUUUGAAAUCGUAGCGGGGAGGAUAAAGAACUCCGUUUAACGUGGAAUUUUAAUCCAUAAUAUAAUGGUCUGAAGCAGGGGUUAUUCACCUGGGGUCCACGGGGCUCUGUCGAUAGAUUCCAGAGGGUCCGUAAAUCUCGUUACUUAAUGCUUUAAUAAAGAAGCACAUAUA